GAAGCUGGUUUGGAGAAUUAAGUUUCCUUUCACGUCUGGAGAUCCAUAAUCUGUUAGAGAAAGUCGACUUGGAUGAAAAUUCUCCUCUGGUCUUUUGAUCUUGGUAGCUACCACGCCUUGCACAAAACAAAUGAAUAAAUUAGUGAAUGAGUGAAUAGAUGAAGUAAUGAACUGAGACAGAGUUUUGCUACAUUGCUCAGGCUGAUCUCUCCUCUUGGGCUCAAGUGAUCUGCCAGCCUUGGCCUCCUGAAGUGCUGGGAUUAUAGGCAUGAGCCACCAUGCCCGGCCCAAUAUCAACAUUCUGAACAUCAGCCUUUGUACUGAGUGAUAAUACAGCAACGCUGUCAAGGCCCACUGGGAGAACAAAGAGAGGUGGAUCCCAGGAGGCAGCCAGGGGAUGCAAGGAGCCAACAUGCCAUCAGAGAGGGGUGAAGAGAUAAGGUCCCAAGGAAAGCUAUUGGAAAGCUUUCUACCAAAAGGGAGAUCAAGGACCACAGAGCACAUCCUGAAAGACAAGUCAUCCUCAGUGAGUGCCUUAUCAAGCUUAUUACUUCAUGGUGACAAGAGGGCUGCACUUGAUCCAACAUCAAUUUUGGAUUCCAGUAAGCAAGAAGAAGAAGACAAAUGAGAAAAAGAUAUAAGCCAGUUGAUUUUUCAGCAAACCUUCCAAGAGCAAAGGGGACACUUUCCCUUCACCCCUGCAGAAGACGUCUCCGAGGAAGUGAAACAUUGGUGGAUAUAUGAUAGAAAUCAUCAUGGUAAAGAAAGUAUUACAGUAAGACUGAAAACCAACCAUUUUGCCCAAGGGACAGACCCUCAGCUGUGACUCUGCACCUGAUCUCUGUGGCUUUGCUGAAAUGUAGCUUUAACCCUGGAGUACCCUAAAGGUGAGCACCAGCGCGAUGGAGAGGUGAGAGCACAGACUUUGGCUGUUGGCCUCAGUUUCUUCCUCUGCAGUUUGGUGUGAAGCUCAGAGAUGGUGCAUGGAGCCCCCAGAGAUAGUAGCUGGCACCUGGAGACCCAUGCCCUGCUUGGGCCACACCUCUGCUGGUGCAGGGAAACCUGGGCAACCCGAGGUGGACAGACCAGUUCUACUGGAAGCUGGUCCCCAUCACCUGUACUUUUCCCACAAAAGACUCCCUUCCUUAUCCCCUUCCUCACUCACCCACAAAAGAACCCUUUCCUUAUCCAUGACCUGUACUUUACCCACAAGAAACCCCCUUCCUUACCCACUCCCUUCCUUACUCAAUCUGGCAGGGCUCAGAUUGCAAUAAAGAAGGGUCAGUAAUCCACAAAUCCAAAUAUUCAGUUUCCUGGCAGACGUAGAAUCAUUCAUAUUCUUGAAUCAAAAGGAUCUGUUCACGAUUAGAAAAAAAAAUUCAUCUAACUGCGUUUUUCAUUAAUAGAAACUGCAUAUAGAAAUCCUCUAGAACAACAUCAUACACCAUGGAGUUGACAAUUCAUCAUGCUCUAUUCUAGGCUCGGCUUCAGCAUAUUUGAAAUCAGCUAGGAGGCUUCUGUUGAUACAAAAUACAGUAUUUGUAGACUGAUCUAGUCCUGCAGCAGGUGGUAAAGAAGUAUGAACUGAAACUGCCAUAUGGCGGUGUGAAGGAAAUGUUUCUCUCCAGAGAAAUACUUGAAAGUGUCAUAAAAACAGUAAAAACAUUUAACAGCUCAAAAGGCUUAAAUUCAGUAUGUACAGAAACUGUGUCAACUUUGGAGUCAGGCUGCUUUCAUUAAAAUCUCAGCAGAUAGAUGAUAACUUUCACUCGCGUCCAUGUGAAGAGACCACUAAACAGGCUUUGUGUGAGCAAUAAAGCUUUUAAUCACCUGGGUGUGGGUGGGGUGAGUCCGAAAAGAGAGUCAACGAAGGGAGAUAGGGGUGGGUCCAUUUUAUAAGAUUUGGGUAGGUAAAGGAAAAUUAUAGUCAAAGGGGGGGUUGUUCUCUGGCGGGCAGGAGUAGGGGUCACAAGAUGCUCAGUAGGGGAGCUUUUGAGCCAGGAUGAGCCAGGAGAAGGAAUUUCACAAGAUAAUGUCAUCAGUUAAGGCAGGAACAGGCCAUUUUCACUUCGUUUGUGGUGGAAUGUCAUCAGUUAAGGCAGGAACCGGCCAUCUGGAUGUGUAUGUGCAGGUCACAGGGGAUAUGAUGGCUUAGCUUGGGCUCAGAGGCCUGACAAUACCCAGGCAGAUAAGUAAUGUGACUUUGUGCAAGUGACUUAAACUCUGGAGCUUUGGUUUCCUCAUAGAAAAGAGGGAAUAGACCCUUGGGAUUAUAGUGAAAAUGAAAAGAAAUAGUGUAUAUACAGCAACUAGCCUAGUCUCUGGUCUAUGUGGAAAACGCUUGAUAAGAUUAUCAUUGUCAUGAUUGUUUUUAUAUUAUGAAUACAUUUGUUGUGUUACAUAUAAUUCACGUCUACCUUCUGUGAAAGUAUGUAUAGGCAUACAGAUGGAGAUGGUAAGAGAAAAGAGGAAGAGAAAGAAUCAGAAAAAUAUACGCCUGAUUCACCCUCCCAAUCCUGCUACUCAAACCUUUUAUUCUAUGCCCAGUCUUCCCCAUCUCCAUAAAUGGAAUACCAUCCACCCAGUUGCUCAAGCCAAAUAUUUCAGAGUCAAUGUAAAUAUUUCCCUUUCCCUUACUGGCUGGCCACUGUCUAUCUAAUUUCAGUCAUUAUAAUCUCAUCAUCAUCUCUCCCUGGAUUUUAUAUUUUUAUUUAGCUUCGUCUUCCUAAAUCUUCUCCCUGCUUUCAUUCAGAGUCCCCUCUAACCACACAAAACCAGAACUUCCUUCUUAAAAUAGAAAUUAGAUCACAUCUCUCUUCCCAACUGGAAACCCUUCGGUGACUUCUCAUUGUACUUCAAGUAAGAUGCAAACACCUUUCCAGGGCCUCCAAACCCCUGCACAAUUGGGUUCCCAAUACUCCCUAACACCACCUCCUACACCCUCCCUGACUAUAUUUCAGUCCCUUGAACAAGCCAAGCUCCUUUCCACCUCACAGCCUGUGCACAAAUUGUUCUCUCUGCCUGGAACACUCUUCCAUUUUGGCAUAAAUGUCUGAUUCCUUUCUGACCUUCAAGCCAGAAUUUCAAGGUCAAUUGCUCAGAGAGGCCUUCCCAGUACACCAACUGAAGCAGAUGACCUCCUCACCUCAGUCAUUCUCUAGAUCCACAUUGUGUCUUAACAGCACAUAAAAUAACUUGUAUUUUAUUAGUUUUUCAUUUUUUUCGUGUGUCUGUCUCUCCCAAAGGUUGUAAAUAACUUGAAGGCUGGGGCCAUAUCUGUCUUUUCCAUUUUUUCACUUGCAGUGCUCAAUACAAUGCACUGUGCUGGGCAUAGAGAAGAUGUUCAGUAAAUAUUUGAUGUAAGAAAUUGGGUCAUUGGAUAAAACAAUCUUGUAAAUUUCCAUCGUUAAAAUGCCCUAGAUAUAUAAUAAUUUAUUUUCACUCAUUACUGAAAAGUCAGAGAUGAAAAAAGACAACACAUUUUUGUAUGUUUAUAUGUAUGCUUAAAGGGUUAGAAGUAUUUGAUCUUUUAUGGAUCAAUUGUUGAAGAAUUAUCUGUUGCCUAGAAAGAGGUCAUGUGAAAGAGGCAAAUGUAAAUGCAGGAAUUUUGCUCAUUGCAGUUAAUUGACACUUUCAGGGCCAAUGGAUCACAUGAGUCACUUUUUAAAAAUCUUUCUCCUAUUUUAGAGGAUACAGUGGUUUGAAACCAACAUUACAGCAGCAUGUUUCAUAGGACUUGUUCUUUAUUGAUCAUGGGCAAAGAUUAAUUUCAAGUAUGUAAUUGUCAUCUGAGGGCCUGACUUCUCAUGGGCCCCAGCUGCUUUUUUUCUGUAUAAUUUAGAUUAGAAGUUGACUGCAGUGAAUGCCAUGCUGUAUCUCUCAGAUCCCCCUCUUUGGAACUGAGGCCCUCAACCCCCAGCAGCUAGAGCACUGUUGAAGAGAGCUAAGGUCUUGUCCCAGCUCAGGGGAUGGUCCGUAUUCAAGAGCUGCCCUGGGCAUGUUGGGGGUGGAGGAAAUCCAGCCUCUUGCAUAAGGUGACAGCACAAAUCCAAAGGGCCAUUCCAGCUCCGGAGAUCUGUUGGACAAUUAAGGCCUAUGUUGCAUUUACAUUGACUGCAUUGGGUUCAGCUCCUGCCUCUAUCCAAUCCUACUUUCUUUACUUCCCUACAGAUGUUGUUCCCAAGAUCACUGCCAGUAAUAUUCCUGCAGCCAGAUCUCCAUCUUAAGGUGGAAAAGAUAAUGUCUCUAAUAUGGUCUGGCUGUGUCCCCAUGUAAAUCUCAUCUUGAAUUGUAGUUUCCAUAAUUCCUAUGUAUUAGUAUUAUGGGAGGGACCCAGUGGGAGAUAAUUGAAUCAUGGGGGUGGUUUUCCCCAUACUGUUCUCAUGGUAGUGAAUACGUCUCACAAGAUCUGAUGGUUUUAUAAGGGGUUUCCCCUUUCUGUUGGCUCUCAUUUCUCUCUUUCCUGUUGCCAUGUAAGAUGUCCCUUGCUCUUGAUUGUGAGGCCUCCCCAGCCAUGGGGAACUGUGAGUCCAUUAAACCUCUUUUUCUUUAUAAAUUAUACAAUCUCAGGUAUGUCUUUAUCAGCAGCAUGAAAACAGACUAAUACAGUCUCCUUCUUAAGACAUUGAUUAAAGUGAUUUGGUGCCACUUUUUUUCUACCAUUCCCCUUUUCCUUGGCUUGAAAGGAGUCCUUUGGGGAAAGGGUGAACAAGGGAGUCUACUGUCCAGCUCUCCCCUAACCAUAGGUGGCAGUUUUGAAAAUGUGGAUGGCACAGUCUCCUGCUGACCCAUCUUGAAACCGAAACUAUCAUCUAUCUCCUUUCUACACUCCAUGGCUUCUUCCCAGUACAGAUAAAAAGGUAAGACGGACCACUUCAUUCUAAUUAAUUAGGAAGAGACUAAUCAUAGAUACAUACUUUGAUAUAAUUACAGUUGCCCUCCUGACUGUGGUUUUGCACUCCAAAGCUUCCCCAUGGUCAACUUCAGUGCAAGAAUACUACAUAUAGUAACAUACGUUGAGAGCGAGACAGAGAUCACAUGCACUUGACUUUUGUUACAGUAUGUUGCUAUAAUUGUUCUAUUUUAUUAGUAGUUAUUGUUGUUUUUCUCUUACUGUGCCUAAUUUAUACAUUAAACUUUAUCAUAGGUAUGCAUAUAUAGGAAAAAUCACAGUAUAUAUAGGGUUCAGUACUAUCUGUGGUUUCAGGCAUUCACUGGGGGGUCUUGGAAUGUAUCCUCCAUGGAUAAGGUGAGACAACUGUAUUUUAAAAACAUGUGUUAUGAGCUGAAUUGGGCCCCAAUCCCCAAAAUCAGAUGUUGCCAUCCUAACUUCAGAAUGGGAUUGUAUUUGGAAAUAGAAUCUUUAAAGAGGUAAAGUUAAAAGGAGGUCAUAGAUGUGGGCCCUAAUCUAAUACAAAUUGUGUGCUUAUAAAAAGAGGAGAUUGGGACACAGCCACACACAGAGGGAAGACCAUGUGAAGACACGCAAGAGAAAAGACAGCCAUCUAGAAGCCAAAGAGAGAGGCCUUAGAAGAAACCAACCUUGCCAAACACCCUGAUCUCAGGCUUCAAACUUCCAGCACAGCACACUGCCGAUCAAAUCAUCCCUGAUGAUUGUCUCAUGGCACCAUCGUGCUUCUGCCGUCUUGUUCCUGCACCACCACAGACACUCAGGAGCUCUCAAGGGGCCUGGACUGUAUAGUGUUCUGUGGCACAACAGGCACCUCAAUCUCAUGCAAGUACAGUUAAAGAGCAUCAGAUCUGCGCUGCCCUCAUGGAAAUGCUCAGCUUCUGGUACAACAGCUGUUUAAUUGCUUCACAUACAGCCCCCUCUCCUGUCCUUGGAUUCAGUCAAGGUGCAGGGACACAUUUGAGUGACAGGUUCUGCUCUGUGCUCCAUAGUGAUGACUAAGGCUUUGUUUCUGGGUCAAGCUUGUCACGACUCAUUUUUCCCUUAGGAGAAGCUCUCUACUAGCAUAUUUCUCAGUGCCUCAUGCAAAGAGGCUUCUGGUAAGCUGUCCUGCUGGCUUUCCAAUAUGCCCGGGAGAGCUGAAUAGUCACUUCUAGGACACGCCAGGGACUUCCUGCCUCUAGUAACUCUCUCCAAGACUUCCCUUAAAUAUGUUUAUAGGGUGGGAGUUAUAGACAAAAAGUAGAGAAGAUACCAUUGCUUCUUGAGGGAGAAGUUCAAAUGCUGGCUUUAUUUUCUCUGGAUAUUCUACUUUGCUCUUGUCCCUAUUGUCUGGUCUGAGUUAGGAUAUUCAACCUUUGACUUAUUAUCACAGAUGGUUCUAGUGCCCUUACUUGUGUAAACCAAAAAGUAUCUGAGACAGGUCUAAAUCAAUUUAGAGGUCUCUUUUCCCAAGGUUAAGGGCCAUGGCCCAUGGCACAGCCUGAGGAGGUCCUGAGAGCAUGUGUCUAAGGUGGUUAAGUUACAGCAUGGUUUCAUACAUUUUAGGGAGACAGAAGUUACAGGCAAAGACAUAAAUCAAUACACGGAAGUUAUACAUUGGUUCAGCCCAGAAGGGCAGGACAUCUUGAAGGGAGGUAGGGGACAUCUUUCAGGUCAUAGGUAGAUUCAAAGAUUUCCUAAUUGGCAAUUGGUCAAAAGAGUUAAGCUCUGCCUAAAGAGUUGAAUUUGGGAAAAAAAAAAAAAAAAGGCUUGAGUAAUUUAGAUAAGGGUGACUGUGGAAGACUCUAGGUAGCAGGCUUCAGGGAAAAUAGAUGGGAAAUAUCUCUUAUCAGACUCUAAAAAAUUUCAGACUCCCCAGAAAAGACCUAGUAAGGGAAGGAUAUUCUCUACAGAACAGACAUUUCCCCCAUAAGAGAUGUUUUUGCAGAGCCCUUUCAAAGUAUGUCAAAGAAAUACAUUUUGAGGGUAAAUAUUUUGCCUGCUAUCUGUCAUAUGAUGCUAUACCAGAGUCAGAUUGGAAUUUGGUGUCCUAUUGUUACAAAAAGUCUGUUUUGUUAGUCUUAAGAUCUCUGUUUUGAUUCUAAUGUUGGUCAGUUGUUCCUGAACUCCAAAGGGCAGAGGCCAGAAUGAGGCAUGUUUUGCUCCUCCUUCCUGUCAUGGCCUGAACCAGUUUUUCAGGUUUCUUUGGGGUCCUCUUGGUCAAGAGGGGGCCCAUUUAUUCUGUUGAGGAGGCCUAGAAUUUUAUUUUAGUUUCACGCUUGUUUACUAGAGAGUGAUGACGAUACAUCCAAAAUCUGUCACCGAAGAUCUUUGUCUUUGUAGAUUUCCUGUCAGCCUAGUCUUUGUUGGAAGAUCAGCACUCUGUUCUGGCUGGCUCCUGAAUUUACUCAGUGCACCUCCUCCCUUGAUCAUGGGAGGAGUUUGAGAGCUUUUUCAGUAAAAAUAAUAGUUUCUUUCUGUGUGGAGUCCAGAUGAAAGAUAAACACUCAUGGAUGUUUUAGUUUAAAAAAUCCCAUGUCUAAUUUGAUGUGGAAAUGGAUUUUUUAAAAUGAUGUAUAUGAUGACAUUAUAUUUUGGACUGGAGAGACAGUGAUAUGGUUUGGCUGUGUUCCCACCCAAAUCUCAUCUUGAAUUAUAGCUCCCAUAAUCCCCAUGUGUCAUGGGAGGGACCCCGUGGGAGGUAAUUGAAUCAUGGGAGCGAGUUUUUCCUGUGCUGUUCUCAUGAUAUUGAGUAAGUCUCAUGAGAUCUGAUAGUUUUAGAAAGGGCAGUUUCGCUACAUAUACUCUCUUGUUUGCUCCCAUGUAAGAUGUACCUUUGCUCCUCCUUCACCUUCUGCCAUGAUUGGGAGGCCUCCCCAGCCAUGUAGAACUAACUGUGAGUCCAUUAAAUCUCUUUUUCUUUAUAAACUACCUAGUCUCAGCUAUGUCUUUAUUAGCAGCGUGAGAAUGGACUAAUGCAGUAAAUUGGUACUGGUAGAAUGGUGUGCUGGUAUAAGGAUACCCAAAAACAUGGAAGCAGCUUUGGAACUGUGUAAGGGCAAAGAUUGGAACAGUCUGGAGGGCUCAGAAGAAGACAGGAAGAUGUGGGAAAGUUUGGAACUUCCUAGAGACUUGGAGAGUUCAGAAGACAGGAAGAUGUAGGAAAGUUUGGAAUUCCUGGAGACUUGUUGAAUGGCUUUGACCAAAAUGCUGAUAGUGAUAUGGACAAUAAAGUCCAGGUUGAGGAAGUCUCAGAUGGAGAUGAGGAACCUGUUGGAAACAGCAGUAAAGGUUACUCUUGCUAUGCAAAGAGACUAGUGGCAUUUUGCCUUUGCCCCAGAGAUCUGUGGAACUUUGAACUUGAGAGAGAUGAUUUAGGGUAGCCAACAGAAGAGAUUUCUAAGCAGCAAAGCAUUGAAGAGAAAGCAGAGCACAAAAGUUUGGAAAAUUGGCAGCCUGAUGAUGUGAUAGAAAAGAAAACCCCAUUUUCUGGGAAAAAUUCAAGCAGGCUGCAGAAAUUUGCAUAAGUAACAAGCUGCAGAAUGUUAAUCACCAAGACAAUCACAGAAAUGUCUUCAGGGCAUGUCACAGACCUUCACAGCAUCUCCUUUCAUCACAGGUUCAUAGGCCUAGGAGGAAAAAAUGGUUACUUGGGCCAGGGCCUCGCUGCUGUAUGCAGCCUUAGGACUUGGUGCCCUGUGUCCCAGCCACUGCAGCCAUGGCUAAAAGGGGCCAACAUGCAGCUCAGGCCAUUGCUUCAGAGGGUGCGAGCCCUAAGCCUUUGCGGCUUACACAUGGUGCUGGGCCUGUAGGUGCACAGAAGUCAAGAAUUGAGGUUUGGGAACCUCUGCCUAGAUUUCAGAUGAUGUAUGGAAAUGCCUGGAUGUCCAGGCAGAAGUGUGCUGCGGGGCAAAGUCCUCACAGAGAACCUCUGCUAGGGAAGUGCAGAAAGGAAACGUGGGGUGGGAGCCCCCACACAGAGUCAUCACUGGGGCACUGCCUAGUGGAGCUGUGAGAAAAGAGCCACCAUCCUCCAGACCCCAGAAUGGUAGAUCCACUGACAGCUUGCACUAUGCACAUGGAAAAGCAACAGACACUCAACACCAGCCCAUGAAAGCAGCCAGGAGUGGGGGCUGUACCCUGCAAGGCCACAGGGGCAGGGCUGCCCAAGACCAUGGGAACCCACCUCUUACAUCAGCAUGACCUGGAUGUGAGACAUGAAGUCAAAGGAUAUUAUUUUGGGGCUUCACGAUUUGACUGCCCUGCCAGAUUUAGGACUUGCUUGGGGCUUGUAGCUCCCUCAUUUUGGUCAGAUUCUCCCAUUUGGAACAGAUAUAUUCCUGUAUCCUCAUUGUAUCUAGGAAGUAACUAACUUGGUUUUCAUUUUACAGGCCCAUAGAUGGAAAGGUCUUGCCUUGUCUCAGACGUGACUUAGGACUGUGGACUUUUGAGUUAAUGCUGAAAUGAGUUAAGACUUUGAGGGACUGUUGGGAAGGCAUGAUUGGUUUUGAAAUGUGAAGAUAUGAGGUUUGGGAGGGGCCAGGGUUGGAAUGAUAUGAUUUGGCUGUGUCCCCACCCAAAUAUCAUCUUGAAAUUUUAGCUCCUAUAAUCCCCACAUAUCGUGGAAGGGACCUGAUGGGAGGUAAUUGAAUCAUGGAUUUUUCCCAUGCUAUUUUUGUGAUAGCAAAUAAGUCUCAUGAGAUCUGAUGGUUUUAUAAAUGGGAGUUACCCUGCACACAGUUUCUUGCCUGCUGCCAUGUAAGAUGUACCUUUGCUCCUCCUUCACCUUCUGCCAUGGCUGUGAAGCCUCCCCAGCCAUGUGGAACUGUGAAUCCAUUAAACCUCUUUUUCCUUAUAAAUUUCCCAGUCUUGGGUAUGUCUUUAUCAGCAGUGUGAGAACAGACUAACACAGACAGUAAUGUUGUACAGGAUUGUUCAAGUGUUUGUCAUCACUGAAUCCUUCAAAUAUGUAACUUGGGAUCAUCUGCUGACCAGAAAUGACUUUGUUCAAUACAAUAUUCCUUGAGAUAAUGAUGUUUUCUAUUUUUUACUGGUAUGUAAAUGUGAAAUGCUGCUGCUAUUAAAACAAUAGUUUAGAGCUAAUGUGUAAUGAAGUUUUUGUUUGUUUGUUGGCUAAUUUUUCCAUAUGGAAAAUCAUAUGUAAAUAUAGCUUUCUAAAAGAUUUAGCAAAAGUGGAAAGCAAGAGAGGUAGAAAAGAGUUGAUUCCAUGAAUGUGAAACAAUGGCCCUUGAUUUUUCACUGUGCUGUCAUCCCAUCCAGAUGUGCAUGUGACGUGGUGUUGGAGAAUGCUCAGGGGACAGACCCAGGAGCUGCUGCCCAAGGAUUCUUUGACAGAAUCCCAAUCCGGGAUUCUUUGGAGGCUUUUUCUCUGCAGUAUACAAAUAACCCUGAGUAUUGAGCCCUUCCUGAGAUCAAAGUUAAACAUGAGAGCUAAAGGUAGAGCUAGAGGACAUAGGGAAAUGCAAACCCAGUAAAGCUCUGGGGAAAGAGGCUCGCCUAUGCACUCUGCAGAACCUCUACCUCCAGCUUCAAUGUCUGCACCCAAGAAAUACCGUGUACAAGUCUUCACACAUGAGUGCAAAUAACAUACUGAUGGCUGAAAACAAUAAAAUGAACAAGAAAAAAAUUCUCACUAAUUCAAACUGUCUGCAUUCUAUCUCUGUGGUUAUUCUAAGCUCACCUCCAUAACUUUAUGUAUUUAUGUAUUUAAGAGAUGGAGUUUCACUCUGUCACCAAGGCUGGAGUGCAGUCGUGCAAUCACAGCUCACUGCAGCCUUGAACUCUGGGCUCAAGGGAUUCUUCUUCCUCAGCCUCUUGAGCUGGGACUACAGGCAAGCCACAAUGCCCAGCCACCUACCUCAGUUUUAAAUUCUCAUUCUUCCAUUUGCAAUUCUUUUUUUUUUUUUUCAGACAGAGUCUCACUCUAUCAUCCAGGCUGGAGUGCAGUGGUACAAUCUUGGCUCACUGCAACCUUCCCGUCCCAUGUUCAAGCGAUUCUCCUGCCUCAGCUUCCUGAGUAGCUGGGACUGCAGGAGUGUGUCACCACGCUCGGCUAAUUUUUGUAUUUUUAGUAGAGACAGGGUUUUGCCAUGUUGGCCAGGCUGGUCUUGAACUCCUAACCUCAAGUGAUCCAACCACCUCGGCUUCCCAAAGUGCUGGGAUUAUAGGCAUAAGCCACCAUGCCCAGCCUCCGUUUGCAAUUAUUGUCGCUAGAGCACUUUGAAAAGAAAUCGCUGCAUGAGAGUGUGUGUGUGUGCAAUUUUUACAGAUUCCUCCAAAAAUAAAUUGUGCAAGUACAUUAUAUUUUUCAGUAGCCUAUGUCAAUUAUGGUUUCAUUUAAACUGAAUAUGUUCUAAAUUCUUGUCCACAUAAUCUGCCCUCCCAUUUUAUAUGGGACAAGGAUCACAUCAUUUCCAACUACCAUGUCUUUCUAUCACAGGCUGCUGUGCUAUGGCUGAUGCUGCAGUUCCAGAGCAGGCUCCCUGCUGUGAUUCUACUCAUGAGAUGUUUCCCAGCAGAGGAACUAGCGACAGUGCAAGAGGGGACCCCCAUUUCGUGUUUCUGUGAAGGCUGCAGAACCAGGCUUUGUAGUGGAUGCCAGCUCAUUUCCAAGCUAGAUGUCCAAUCUACUAGCUAGAUGUCAAAGGUCAUGAUGAAUCUUUGAUGCAUGACAGAGUCUGAUAGUGGAAGCUUUGUAAAAGCAAAUCUUCCUGGGUGUCAAAGGAAUUUAAGUCUGGCAAUGUGGCAAAGUUUCCCAACAUUCCAAACAGUGGCAGCAUGUUUCCAAAAACAGGUAGCACAAUCUUCUUUUUACAACAAAAAUGAAAGUUAUAGUAGGAUGUAAAUGUAUUUAAACAGCAGAGGCUGUAGAAGACAGCAUAUAAGGGAGCAGUGGUCUAUUACCCUUAACAUUGAGAGGUGGCCUCGUACAAUGGUUAAACAAGUCCUAGGUUUGAAUCUUCGCUCAACUCUGCAAAUUGCAUAAUCUCUCUGAGCUUUAAAUGUUAUUUCAAGAUGUCUAUUCAUGUAAAAUUCCUAGGAUGCUGCUUGGCACAUGGUAAUAAAAGACCCUAAUGGAGGGUAACUGGUAUAUAACAGACUUUCAGGUUUAUUUCUCUUAAAAUUAGGAGCAAAACUUUAUGGUAAAUGACAAAAACAAGCUGCUAACUGAUAAAUAAAACUGUAAUUGGGACUUUAUAUUAAAAGAAAAUUCAGACACAGUGGCUCACACCUGUAAUCCCAGCACUUUGGGAAGUUGAGGUGGAAGGAUUGCUUUAGCCUAGGAGUUUGAGACCAGCCUGGGCUAUAAAUAUACAUACACAUAUAUGUAUAAAUACAUGUACACACAUACAUUUACAUAUUUAUAUGUAAAUAUAUACAUUUGCAUAUUUGCAUAUGUAUGUUAUUUAACUUUAUAUGUACAUAUAUGUAAAUAUAUGUGUAAAUAUGUAAUAUAUGUAUAUAUAAAGUAAAAUGAUAUACAUAUAUAAAUAAAAUGAAGUAAAAUAAUACAAAUAAAUGUAGUUUAUAGCUAAUUGGACUUAGAUUAUAAUUGCUUACAAAUUCCUGCUCCAGUCCUCUCUGUAGGUGGCUGAACCCUGGGCACAGGGAGCAGACAUAAGCAGCAAACUGUCAGUGUUGUUUUGUCUCAGAAAAUAAGGAAACCCAAUGAGAAGGAGAAAGAUGGGGGAACAGCUGGUUGGUAGAGCAGUCAGAACACACACAACAUUUAUUGAUUAAGUUUGCUGUCUUAUGUGGGCAAACCCCAAAACAACUGCGACAGUAACAUCAAAGGAAACUGAUUAUACAUGACCAUAAGAGGCAUAAUAAUAAUGAAAAAGCUUGAAAUAUCUUGAGAAUUACCAAAAUGUGACACAGAGACAAGAUGUGAGCACAUGCUGUUGAAAAUAUGGUGCCAAUAGACUUGCUUGACACUGGGUUGCCACAAACCUUCAAUUUGUAAUAAAUGCAACCUCUGCAAAGUACAGAAAAGCAAAGCACAAUAAACUGAUGCAUUCCUGUACUUAUGGGUAAUUGUAUUUUCAGAAAAUCGGCCUUUUGAAAAGAAAAUGUUUUAAAUGAAAUAUUUUGCAAGAAUUAUAGAGCCCAACAGUGGCUUCAGAAUAUCUUACUACUGUAGUUUAAAAAUAACUCCCUUUCCUUUCAAUUUGGUAAGCGUGUGACUUACAAACCUGUCACUCAAAAAAACUAAGAAUUGAGCUAAAACUCUAUUCUUCACUCAAUAAUGAGAAUGCAGCACUUACAUGUAUUUUCUUCCUGAAUAUUCCUUGACACUGUAUGUCUGGGAUGUGCACGUAUGUGUUAUGCAAUGUCUUUUGCCCUAAUGGCAUAUUAGCAGGAAGCAACCAUACCUGCCACCAAGCAAGUCUCCUAUUUCUGGUAUAAGUAUGAGGUCUUGGAGAAGAAAAUGUUGUGCCCUUCUAUUCCAGAAGCAAAAAACAAGGAAAUGAUGCAGAAGUCUCUUGGGGAGAGUAUCUGCCAAGUUUCCAUUUUAUUUCUUGGUAUGUAAACAAACAUUCGGUGUUCCCUCUAUAUAAAAUAAGAAAACCAUGGUAUAUAAUGAUGUUUCCUGUUUAUAUUGUGACUGUCAGAAUGGUUUUAUAAAUGCUCUUUUAUUGGGUCUUCACAAUAAAAGAAAAAAGCAAAAAAA
rnacentral:lncRNA from 10 species